UCCCAUUUUAGAGGAAAAGAGGUUGCCUGC
rnacentral:piRNA from 1 species